ensembl:lncRNA
GAGGCCUGUGGGCAGGCUCGCGGCCCCGUGUGGGCUGUGUUGGGUUACUCUCCGCCUGAAGUUCCCACAGGCAGUGAGGCACAGAUAACACCUUGGCCCCUGAAUCUGUCCUUUGUCUUUCCUCACCAAGAAGACUGUUUGUGGAAAGAGAUGGCAGAUGACUGAAAAUCUUCCUUUAUUAUAGUCCAUUAUUAUUUUUGUUUACCCAAGUUGGACAUUUGGGUUCUUUCUACCUGCUGGAUACUGCAAAUACUGCUGCUUUUUGUUGUUUUAGAAUUGUAGUAAAAUAUACAUGUGACAGUUGAUGGAUUGCAUCAACUUGAGUAAGAGAAGCUCAGCUAAACUGGCUCCAUAAUUCCACACCCUAGGGUGUAGAAGAUCCAUUCUAGCAUGGCUGUCACCUGGAUGGUGUAAAGGGGAGAUGGAGAAGAAUCAAUCUGCUUGUUUCCUUGGAGGAGCUCCAGGCUUCGCCUUCACUUUGAACAUCAUCUCCUGGCUUCCAGUGCAGACUCUUCAGCUUCCAGCUCAGACUUUUCAGCCUUCCCACAUAAACUCUUCAGCCUUCCAUCACAGACCCAUCAGCCUCCUGAUAUGAACUCUGCAGUGAGCUCCAGACCUUCAACUGAAUCCUUCAUAUCCAGUGUGCAGACAAAUCCUCUGCACUCUUCCACAUCUGACUGUUUGAGUCUCUAUUGUAAGUCAAUCUUGUAAAUUCAUAUAUAUGUAAUAUAUAUAUUUGUAUAUUUCAUGUUAUAUCUGUUUCAUUCAUCUGUAGAUGGACAUCUGGUUUCUUUCUAUCUUUUGACUAUUGUGAAUAACUCUGCUAUGAACCGCAGUGUGUGAAGAUCUGUUUGAGUCCCUUUUUCAUUUCUUUGGGGAUAUAUUCAGAGGCAGAAUUGCUUGAUCAUAUGAUAUUUCCAUGUUUUACUUUCUGUGGAACCACAGAACUCUUUCCACUGCUGUCAUAUUUGAUGUUUCCUUCAGCAAAGCACAAGAGCUUCAGUUUCUUCUCCACAUCUUCACCGAUAUUUUCCACAUUUUUGAUAACAGCCACUCCAAUGGCUAAGUAUCAUUACUGAAUUUGGUCUGCUUUGUUAACUAUUCUUACGAAAAGUCACAAAGAGGAAUUAUUAUACAGCUAGUUACCCUGCAUGUGGAAAGCUGCAAACAUCUGAUGUGAGUCUCAAAGCAGAAAGUAAAAUAUGGUGAUAUCUGUUACAUUUCAAACACAGCACUGAUAUUUCUCCAAAUAAGAACAUAAACCUGUGUUUUGAAACUGCCAUUAAAAAUCUUACAGCAAAUUCUUGGUAUAUAAGUAGAUCCCUAGUCAAGACCAUAGCCUAUAAGAGGCUGAUACCUGUGAAUGCCUUUCUUGGCAAAGCCAAACUCUUACUGAAGUUAGGAAUACCUUACACUUGACCCCAAACAUUAAACGAUUUCCCUCCAUUUUGAUUUUAGUUCAGUGCAUGGUGAAAGAUGUGGGUCUAAUUUUAAUCUUUGGCAAGUUGAAACCCAGUUUUUCCAACACCGUUUAUUAAAUAGGCUAUCUUUCCUCCAGUGAGGGUAUUUGGCUCCUUUGUCAAAGAUGAGCUAUCUGAGUGUGUCUGGAGUUGUUGUUGCAUCUUCUAAUCUGUUCCACUGAUCCUCAGGUUUGUUUCCUUGCCAGUACCAUGUUGUUUUUAUCGUAGUGGUUUGUAGUAUAGUUUCAUGUUGCAGAUUGUGAUAUCCCCUGUCAUGUCUCCAUUGCCCAGAAUCGCUUUCGCUAUUCUAGGUCUCUUCUGGUUCCAAAUGAAUUUUUGGAUUGUUUUCUCUAGUUCUGUGAAGUAUACUGUUGGAAUUUCAAUUGGGAUUUACGCUCUUUAUAUUAUUAUCCCAGCUCAGCUUCAUACGGUCCUCUCAGGUGACAGAGGAAUGGGGGAGGGGAGUUUAUGUGUCCAAUACCCUGUGAUCAGAAGACACCGA